ACCAAUCCUGGCCGCCCAAUUCUCUGCUGUGAUCGCCCAAAGGCGGGUCCUUUGGCGCAGGGCUCGCGCCGAAACCGGAAGACGAGGGCGGGUGGGUCGACGGGAACAGCUCCUGGCUGGGGCCGAGCUCCUGGCUGAGCAAAUCGGCAUGGGAAUGGGCAUAGGUCGUGUCGGUUCUAGCGGCAUGGCACCUCCUCCAAAUUCCAUGGUAGGUUCUGGCCUAGGCAUGGGAAUGGGCAUGGGAAUGGGAAUGGGCUUGGGCAUGGGGGGUUUUGAAGCGGGCGAGGCCGAAAUCGGCGAGCUUGGCGUGGAAGUCGGGGCCGAGGAGGACGUUGCUGGGCUUGAGGUCGCCGUGGACGACGGGGGGGUCGA
rnacentral:lncRNA from 1 species